UUUUAAUAAAGGCAUGUUAAAAUCGUGACGUCCUGUUGCAAUACAUGCACUUGCACAUCCUGUGCU
rnacentral:sRNA from 1 species